AGGCUUACGGUGGAUACAUAGGCACCCAAAGAUGAGGAAAGUCAUAGUAAUCGAUGAAAUUUUUCGAGGAGUUAAAAAUAAGCAUAGAUCUGGAUAUUCCCGAAUAGGGCAACCUUUCGAACUGUUGUUAAGUCCAUGGCUAGGAAAGAUACAACAUGGCAAACUGAAAUAUCUAAGUAUCCAAAAGAAAAUAAAGCAAAAGUAAUUCUUGUAGUAGCAUCGAGUGAAAUGGGAACAGCCUAAACUUUGAAAAUGGAGUUGUGGGAGAACAAUACAAGUGUCGUGUUGCUAGGUGAAGCAGCCUGAAUGUUGCACCCUAGAUGGCAAAAGUCCAGCAGCCGAAAGCAUCACUAGCUUACACUCUGACCCAAGUAGCAUGGGGCACAUGGAAUUCGUGUGAAGUAGCAAUGACCACCUUGCAAGGUUAAAUACUCAUGGGUGACCGAUAUCAAAGUAGUACUAUGAGGGAAGGGUGAAAAGAACCCCCAUCGUGAAGUGCAAUAGAACAUGAAACUGUAAGCUCCCAAGCAGUGGGAGGACCAAGGGCUUGGUUAAUAGAACCCACCAGAGCCGUAGCAAAAAUGAGUAUUCAUAGAGAAAUUGUCACUGCUUAUGGACCCAAACUUGGGUGAUCUAUCCAUGACCAGGAUGAAGCUUGGGUGAAGCUAAGUGGAGGUCCAAACUGACUGAUGUUUAAGAAUUAGCAAAUGAGUUGUGGUUAGGGGUGAAAUGCCACUCGAACCCAGAGCUAGCUGGUUCUCCCCGAAUAGUUUUGAGGCACAACCGUUUAUUGGACAUCUAGAGGUAGAGCACUGUUUCAGUGGGGCCGCGAGAGCGGUACCAAAUUGAGAUAAACUCUAAAUACUAGAUAUGACCUCAAAAUAACAUGGGGGAUAAACUUCAUCGUCGAGAGGGAAACAUCCCCAGAUCAUUUGCUAAGUCCCCUAAAUAACCUCUUAGUGAUAAAUGAGGUAGGGGUGCAGAGAUAAACGAGAGGUUUGCCUAGAAGCAGCCCCCUUGAAAGAGUGCAUAAUAACUCAAUGAUUGAGCGCUCUUGCGCCAAAGAUGAAUGAGGAUAAGCAGUUUGCCGAAGCUGUGGGAUGUAAAAAUACAUCGGUAGGGGAGCGUUCCGCCUUAGAGAGAAGCCUACACGCCAGUGGUGGUGGAAGAAGCAGAAGUGAGAAUUUCAGCUUAAGUAACACAAACAUUGGUGAGAGUCCAAUG
rnacentral:ncRNA from 1 species